AGAAGUGUAUAAUAAAGCCCAUAAACAUUCAAAAAAGUAGAUAAUAUAGCAUGGAGCAAUCAAAAAUUAUAGAUACGUUGGAGACGUAUCACAAGGUCACCACCAUCUCUUGAUGCCAAGAGGCGACAAAAUUUUAUAGUUACGGAUUUAUAUAGUUGUUGACAAUACUAGUAUGCAAUAAGCAGGCUUAGCUUUGAUUUCCUUUUUGUACGAAUUGUUGAAUAUUUUCAGCUAAGACCUUCAGUUGGCUAGCUAUGCCACCUGGGUGGGCAUGUGGUACUUCCGUAUCAUUCAACCAGAAAUUUAAACCUGUGAACCUUUUGAAACAAAAGAAGCCACUUAUCAAUGUUGGAAAUAAACCUUGCGGCUCCAGAAACUUUCGUUCUGUAGGUUCAGUUUCAGGUGUCGUUUUCAUCAGUUUCGUCAGUUGGCGGAUUACUUAGUUAGAACUUAGAAGGUUUAGCUGGCAGCCUUAACAACCUGUAGUGGAUGAGGCCGGAUACCGCAUAGUCGCGACCACAAGCCCCAUUUCCUUUUCUAUAAUCUGAAUAAAUAGAAGAGAAGAAAGAGGAGAAAAGCCGCGGAAGUUUGAGCAGCCCAAAACUUCUUCUACCUCCCGCACUUUUGCUAUGAAACCGAAAUGCACCUGAGCCCGCUCAAUAAGAUAGCAUGCCAAAUGAUAUGCCGAAGACUUAGUCAUUAGUCAACGGUAGAAGUAAAAGAAAUUGAAGCCACUGAAACUGAAUUUCCUCAAAAAAUAUAAAAGCCACUGAAACUUAAGCACUUCCCCUAGAAAGCAAUGAUUGCAUUCUUGAGGAGCAUCUCAUCAUACUGCUCGGUUAAAAAAUAGCUAUAGAUCGGUUAAAAAUGCCCAAAUAUUGACUGCUUGAAUUUUCAGAAGUUCUGUUCUUCUUUUCUUCAGCGCAUCAUACUGAUCAUUAAUUUUCUGAUGGCUGGAUUUUGAACCUUUAAGCUACUGUUUUGACAUUAAGUGGAUUACAUAAAUCAGUUUGGUACUAUUUCGGUGUUGCCUUUGCUUUAAACUAGUCUCACUUUCUCAUGGUCACUUGUAUUUGCUGAUUGUAAGGAUUUUCUUCAGGGAAAGAAAAAUAUCAGUAGAUUCCCUAUUUUCUUGCUGACGUACCAUGCUAACUAUAGGUUAUUCGUAUUGUUGAUCCUGGCCAUGAACUUCAUUUGGGUAAAAUCCCCCUUUCCGCAUCUUAAUUGGGCCAGUACCUGCAUAUGUACAUACUAGAGCUGAGUAUUUUGUGGGCUUCACUGAUUAAGUUAAUUUCUUCUCCUUUGUUGCUGUUCAGAGUCGAAUAGUUUCGAUUCCUGAUGUAUAUCUACUGAUUAAGAGUUUACAGUGCUAAGUUGUGGUUGUUUCAAUUCAUGUUCAGUUGUGAAUAUUUUCUGUGCUGCAUGCAACUAUUUUUCUGGGUUUCACUCAUUGUUCAGAGCUGGAGGGUUUCAAUUCCUGAUGUAAAUCUACUGCUCAAGAGUUUCAACUGCCAAGUUCCUGAUGUAAAUUCUUGCUUGUAUCAUUUCUUGUUCAAACUCUAAAACUAGAGGCCUCAACCAGGGGAUUGUUGAUAGCUAGUCUCUUCACUACUAUACAUGUUUCUCCUCCUCUACUGUUUAGUAGGUAGGCAGAAUACCAUGAGAACUGGUUAGCCAAAGGCUCUCUGAAAACUGGUUGAUAAACAAAAACUGAAUUUGUUUUGUUGUUCAAUAUUUACACAUGAGCGAAAAAACCCUGAUUCUUACCACUAUAAAUAAUUGUCUUCAAAAAGGAUGUAUUGUAUUUCCUUUUUGAUCUGCAAUCUACAUCGCCUUGUAAUUAAUAGUACAUCUCAUUUUGGAGGGAUUGUGUGUGGUUGCUUUGCAGGCACUAACUGUACAUGCCUGUGAUUGAGCACCAACCAGCUUAAUUACCUGGGUCCCUCUGCUUGUGUCUCUAGGGACGCGUUUUAAGAUAACUGAUUUUUGUUCUUUUAUGCCAUGGUACGAUUAUGAUUGGAAGGGUAGUCACUUAACAUGUUAGAAUGUACUGAUUCUUUGUGCUGAUUCCUGGUCUGUAUCAGGGGGAUAAGUUUAUUACUUUCUAUCUAGGUUUCUUAGCAAUGGAUGAUUGCAGUGACGAUCUUCUAAAUUUGAAAGAUAAAUGGAUGUUCCUAGUUCUCACCUAUGAGUAGGUGUGAUAUUGUGUUAAGAGUCAUUUGUUUUGUUAAAGUUUUCAUCACACGAGAUGUUGUUCCUUAGAUGGAAAUGAGUUAUCAAGGAAAUGGUUUUAGGUAAACCAGCACCUCUCAUCAGUCUUUCUUACUCAGUGUUAUCAUUUGCUUGGUUUUAGGUGAUGGACUCAUUUCCCGUGGUGGUUCUGCUUGGGUUUUCCUGAUGUUAUUUUGCGUUGGGUUCUGAUCCGCUUUGCUACUAUUGUUUCUGUGGCGAUGCAGACUUGUGAAGAAGAGCAAGGCCAAGAAAGACUCCAACAAUCCCAAGCGCCCCCCUGAGCGUUGUCUUAGUCCUCAUGGACAACUUCAGGAACGUCUCCAACAUCAAGCAGGUCUCCAUGGUUUGCAAGGUCGGUGGUGAGAAGUGGAAGUAUGUUGAGUGAUGUUGGGGACACGACACGCCAAGCAGCAGCAAGGGGAGGGGGUCUCUGAAAUGUUGCCGAUGUCGCUCAUUGCUAGUAUCACCGAUUGAUGAUGGAUGGUUGCUGUUAGUUUAGCUCCUUGGUAGUACCUCCUUGUCUUUCUGGCGGCUGCUGCUGCUGGUAGAAAUGGUAGCUACAGUCCUAUGUACUUCCUCUGCUCGGAUUGCCCUUUGUUGAAUGUACGUACUGUUGUACCCGUGGCUGUUUAAGGAAUCCUUUUGUGUUGAAAGAAAUAAAAUUGUCA